rnacentral:lncRNA from 1 species
CGGAAGAGAACUCAAGGCGCCUAAACCCUGUUCUGGCUGCUCCCUUUUACCCUCAACUCUACUGGUCUGAUGCUUUUCAACUCUGUUAACUGAAACAAAACUCAGCUAGCUAGCUGUUCAGGUCUCUCCAGCUUUCACCGGAGUGGCUUUGACUGACAGAAAAGUAGUUCCGGUUAUGCGUGGGCCAGGGGACUCUGGCUCUCAAUACCAUCUUCUCCACCCAGCCCUUUCUGUGAAGCAGGCAAUUCAGGUAAGGUCUUACUAUGCUGGAAGAUGGGACGAGGAGCUAGCUGCGUGUUCGUGGGACGUCACUGACGCAGAGCCUACGGGUGUGAGGGUAGUGCCAACAUGCCUCUACCGCACUGUGGAAAGCUUCCAGCACUGAGAAAGAAGUC